UGACGACAACGACGACGAUGAUGAUGACAACAACGACAAUCUCAACAAUCACGAAAAUUGUCACAAAGCCACAAUUUAUGGAGGAAGCAACCAAUUAAUUUGCCAACAACAAUAGUAGUAUGCAUGCACACACAAAUGGAAUUCAUGCUUGCAUCACAUGUGUAUUCAUACAACUAGUUAUGGGACUGUUGUCUCAUGCAUACAAAACGACACAUAUGUCAGCAAAAAAGCUUACAAAAAGAAAAAAAAUACACAUAUUUACAAAAGCUCACCAAAAAAAAAAAAACAUAUUUCUUAAAUAGACACCAAAGAAGUGAAUAAUCAUUCUUCCAAUUGUUGAUGCACACAAAUACUGUACAUUCAAGUAUUUUGAUAGGUAAUACAGGACAUGUCAUUCCUUCUUGGGAAAGUCUGAAUAAAUAAAUAGUUAUGUCAAUAACAGCACUACCAGUAAUGGCAACAACAAAAUGAUAAUAAUAAUAAUGGUUUCAAAUUUUGCCAUAAGAGCAGCAAUUCUGGGGGAGGGAAUGAAUCAAUUACAUCAACCCCUGUGUUCAACUGGUACUUAUUUUAUCAACCCCGAAAGGAAGAAAAGCAAAAAUCAACCUCGGUGAAAUUUGAACUCAGAACAUAAAAACAGAGGAAAUAUAUUGGCACAAGGCCCGAAAUUUUGAGAGAGGGGACAAGUUGAUUACAUCGACCCCCAGUUUUUCACUGGUACUUCUUUUAUCGACCCCCAAAAGGAUGAAAGGCAAAGUUGACCUCGGCAGGAUUUGGACUCAGAACAAGAAGACGAACAAAAUGCCGAUUACACCACAUCAAAUGUACCAAUUAUUCCCUUGAUACAUGCUUGGAUUUGCAGAAUAUCUGAUGUCAGUGAACUAACCAUGCAACUCAACAUUGACUGCUGACUUGAAUGUUUAAUUACCUGGAAUAUUUAGAAUGAACUGUCUAGCCAAAAGGUGAUGUGCUUUGAUGUUGAUUCGCCAUGAUCUGAUUUAUUUG